rnacentral:sRNA from 1 species
UGAAGGACCUGGUGGUGAGUGGUGACCGGGGCCCGGGCUGUGGGCAGGCCAGGCCUGGGAUGACAACAGAUUGACAGACAUGGGGAUGAGCCCAGGCCAGAUGUUCAAAGGAGACCCUCUCAGCCAGCCCUCCUUCCAGAAAGCAGAUAAAUCUCAGGAAGAAAUUGUAGCAUGGGAAGACGGGCAGCAAAGCACCGAUGUUCUGCUAGAACGUCCUGGCAGGUUGCUUAUGGAACCACAGAGAACAGUCCCGUGACAUUUGCCCACUUCCCUGAGGACACUGUGGAGCAGAAGGCAGAAAGCGUGGGCAGAAUUAUGCCUCACACGGAGGUGAGCCCCCGACCAAGACUCGGAAGUCCCACCUCUCGUCACCCAACUGGGGUGCACCCCGCUGGGACAUCUGUUGCUUUCAGUGAGAGAGUCAAAUGGCUCACUCAGGAUGCCUAGAGGCCCCCAGCAGCAGGGGUGUGCUAGGCCUGGCCCGGAGUGUUCUCUGUGGGCUAAGCAUGAAAGGGGAAGAGCUGGAACAGUGGCUGUGAGCGGCUGCCAGCUGAACUUCUCCGCGGCCUCCCUUCCUGUCUGAGGUGUGUUUUUG